CCAGUUACAACUUUACCAUUGAACCACCAAUUAACCAAUAAUACCAUACUCCAACCCUUAACUUAAGCAUGUCAUCUUAACAUUUUUAUCAAAAAACUUAAGCAUGUCAUCGAACCGCAUCCUAAUAUGGUGUACACAUUCAAAAAAGACUAAUAGUUAAUAACACGAUGAACCUUUAGACAGUAUUUAAAUACAAUAAAAUUCAUUGGAAUCCGAGAUCGGAGAUGUGACAACCCAUCCCGCUCACUCGGAAUCCGGCUCACAGCCCUGCAGGGCACCGACCCCAACCCCUCCACUAUGAGUUCUCUCUGACUCCAUAAUUAGGUUGUUGGUGAGUCUUGAACCUAGGACCUCACCCUUUAACAACACUCCUCCAGGAUGAGUUGUCACCAGUUGAUCUGUUGUCACAGCCCAAACCCAACAAAUUUUAAAACCUUAAACGUAAAAACCACAUUUUAAACCAAAACCCUAAAAAAGGGUAUUUUAGUAAUUUUGAAUGAUCUGAAUCCUAAACUCUUCUACAUAUAUAUUGAGGGAACGACCUAGAGAAGAGGGAGAGACAAUUUUUACGGCGAAGCUCUGCCAAAAUAACCGACAACGCAGCCUGCAGUUACUCUGAGAUAUCAGUGCCAAGUUGGGAUUUUGGAGAGAAGUUUGCGACCAGAUAAGAAAGUGUUAGGCAAAGAACUAAAGUUGGAUUGAUAGAUCUUGUUUCAAGAAAAACACAGCAACUUUCGGAUCUCAAUUACGAGAUGGUUUUUCUGUUUCACAGAGCCAUAUUGGGAAGAUAUUUCUGGUUGAUACAAAAGGAUUUAGGUGACGUUCGUGAUAUUGUUAGAAAGCUGACGUUACCAUCUUUCUAUAUCCACUAAGAACGCUUCAUUACGAGUUUCACAUAGGAGUUUUGUGAGAAGUUUUCCCUGUGAACCAGAGAGAGUUAGGACGCGAGUAAGGUGUCUCUGGAAAGCUCUAGCUGCAAGGAAACUAUAUCUGUUGACAUUAUAUUGUUUAGAGUUUCAGAUCACUAGAACAGAGUGUCAACCGCUAGUUUCAGAACCCACUUUCAACCUUAAGGCAAGGGUGAGGGUGCGAUUUGUGGACUUUUAUUAUUAUUAGUCAAGUUGUA